AUUGAACGCUGGCGGCAUGCCUUACACAUGCAAGUCGAACGGCAGCACGGGUGCUUGCACCUGGUGGCGAGUGGCGAACGGGUGAGUAAUACAUCGGAACAUGUCCUGUAGUGGGGGAUAGCCCGGCGAAAGCCGGAUUAAUACCGCCUACGAUCUACUGAUGAAAGCGGGGGACCUUCGGGCCUCGCGCUAUAGGGUUGGCCGAUGGCUGAUUAGCUAGUUGGUGGGGUAAAGGCCUACCAAGGCGACGAUCAGUAGCUGGUCUGAGAGGACGACCAGCCACACUGGGACUGAGACACGGCCCAGACUCCUACGGGAGGCCGCAGUGGGGAAUUUUGGACAAAGGGCGAAAGCCUGAUCCAGCAAUGCCGCGUGUGUGAAGAAGGCCUUCGGGUUGUAAAGCACUUUUGUCCGGAAAGAAAUCCUUGGCCCUAAUACGGUCGGGGGAUGACGGUACCGGAAGAAUAAGCACCGACUAACUACGUG
rnacentral:rRNA from 1 species